AACGAACGCUGGCGGCAGGCCUAACACAUGCAAGUCGAACGGGUGUAGCAAUACAUCAGUGGCGCACGGGUGAGUAACGCGUGGGAACGUGCCCUUCACUACGGGACAACGUCGGGAAACUGACGCUAAUACCGUAUAAUGUCUCCGGACCAAAGAUUUAUCGGUGAAGGAUCGGCCCGCGUCUGAUUAGCUAGUUGGUGAGGUAAAAGCUCACCAAGGCGACGAUCAGUAGCUGGUUUGAGAGAAUGAUCAGCCACACUGGGACUGAGACACGGCCCAGACUCCUACGGGAGGCAGCAGUGAGGAAUCUUGGACAAUGGGCGCAAGCCUGAUCCAGCCAUGCCGCGUGAGUGAUGAAGGCCUUAGGGUUGUAAAGCUCUUUUGCCGGGGAUGAUAAUGACCGUACCCGGAGAAUAAGCCACGGCUAAAUUCGUGCCAGCAGCCGCCGCCG
rnacentral:rRNA from 1 species